rnacentral:lncRNA from 1 species
CCGCAUGUUACGAUCAACUUUAGAGAAGAAAGAAAAACCAGAAACGAGAUAACUGGUCGUGGCACACGUUCCCCUAUACUAGAAAUCUUCUGCCAAUGUUGAUUAGAAGUUGAGUAGCAUUAGUCGUUUAAACAAAAAAAAAAACUAGAAAUCUUCUGAUUUAAGCAGCAAACCUAGUGGGCUUCCGUAUUUUAACUUUGUUUUCGGAAUGAAGAUCGAGAUUUCCGUUGGUAAUUUGAUUUUGUUUAUGGAACAGAGAUCUAGAUUUCCAACAAUCGAAAAGAGCACAUGCCAGGAACAAAUCAAACAAAGAGAGCGCAGCGGAAAAAGUGAAGAACCAUCAAACAGAUCAUAGUGCAACAAUCGAUGAACAAUUGAGGCUCAGGAGAAUCAAAGGAAUCCCAAACUUGUAAAUGCAAGGAGGAGCAGAGUGGAGGGAACUAGCUAGAUGAAGACAUGAGGUGCAUGCAUGUGCAUAGGGGCGUCUUCCACAAAAGCGCUUGGAGGCUCACUACUCAUGUGCCAUGGUCACAUUCGUUCAGUAUAAAGCCCACAAGCCAACACAUGAGGUCGCCUGAGGCGUGCUAAUUACAACAUAGACACUAAAAUGUCAAUAAUGUUCCUCUGCAUGGAGAUCCAAAAGAAAGCAUUUAUAUCAAGUAACCUUCGAGUUUCAUUGAUCCGCUCAUCCACAUCGAUGAGAUAAUGUGUUUCCUAUAGGGGUAUGCACGGUUUCGUUCGACUAGGUUUUAUGGUAAAACCGAAACCAUGACCUACUUAGUCGAGUUCAAAGGGAUAUGCACAGUAAUGUUAUGACCCCGCGAUCUACGGAUGUAGUUUUUAAAAGACUUAGUUUUGCUAUUC